GCCCCCGUGGCCUAGUGGCUAACGCUCCUGCCCACCAAUUUUGGGUCGCGGGUUCGAACCCACCUGGGGUCA